rnacentral:rRNA from 1 species
UACGUAGGUGACCAGCGUUGUCCGGAUUUACUGGGCGUAAAGAGCGCGCAGGCGGUCGUUCAAGUCGAGUGUGAAAGCCCCCGGCUCAACUGGGGAGGGUCACUCGAUACUGAUCGACUUGAAGGCAGGAGAGGGAAGCGGAAUUCCCGGUGUAGUGGUGAAAUGCGUAGAGAUCAGGAAGAACGCCAGUGGCGAAGGCGCUCUGCUAGGCCGUAACUGACACUGAGGGACGAAGGCCAGGGGAGCAAACGGG